rnacentral:lncRNA from 1 species
UUGGGUAUUGGAUACUGCCUGCGGUUCUCAUAUAUGCAAGUCGUUGUAGGGGUUGCAGAAUAUUAGAGUGUUGAAGAAGGGUGACUUCGAGCUAUAUGGCGCUGGAGGAGAGUCAAUCCAAGUAGAGGCUGUAGGGACAUAUAUGCUAAAGUUACCUUUUGGAAAGAUCUUAGAGCUAAAAAACUGUUAUUAUAUGCCUAAGAUCAUUAGAAAUAUUAUUUCUGUAUCGUUACUAUUACAAUGAGGUUAUGAAAUAAAU